ACGAAAAGCCCUUCAAUUCACUCCGAUAUUCUCUCUCUCCUUUGUUACAAUUCCGCCGCCCCUGUGUUGCGCCAUCAACCCUUGCUGCAGCGCCGUCGACCCCUGCUGCAGCGCCGUCGACACCUCACGUAGCCGGCUGCCCCACCGUCGCGCACGACUCCUCUAGUACUCGAUCGGCCUCUAUUUCAUCUCUAUUUCAGCAACUUUCCAGUUUUCACAUUUCAAUCACUGCCAAGGACUUUUGCAAUUUAAGCAACUUUGCUACAAAUCACAAGUUAGCACUUCUUUGAGCAUGACAGUGUUCAGGCUAUGCCAUAAGGAACAACAUCGACAACCAACCACAUAGAUGGUCAUUGCCAGCGUGUUCCAAAUUAUCUUUUUGACCUUCUAAUCAAAACAAAAUGAUGUUUCAUUGAACUUUGUUGUAGAAUCUGGAGAUGAACUAUUGGUGUACAAUGGAAGUCAUGUAUUGGUUGCUAAUACACUUUGCUACUGGGUGUGGGAUAUUUUUGUAGUGAACCUAUGAAAGGUGGGGCCAGGGUGGGCGAUGACUCUGUUUUUGGUUUUUCUUAAUUUUUCUUUACUUUCAAUCUUUGUUAAAUAUAUUGAAAGAGCUUACAAUCUUGGUAAAACUAAGGAAUCCACAUGUCAUGAAACUUGAUGAUUGC